CCCCCCGCUCCGGGGUGUGCGCAAAGAAGCGCACUGAGAUGGCCAGGCGGCCGAACCCGCGAACUUGAUCUGGUUCAUCCCAGCGAAAGAAGAGCUGCGACUCCCGUC
rnacentral:ncRNA from 2 species